GGCAGGCCCGUUUCAAAACUUUAGGGUUUUUUGGCAAGUAUAAACGCUGCGGCUUCUCCGACAGGUCGUUUCUCUUCCGUUGCCGCACGUCCUUCGCUUCUCCUCCACAGGGAGAUGCAGACAGUGGCGUGGACAGGCUGUGGCAGAAGAAGAAGGUCGAAGCCAAACAAAUCUAAGGAUGCUUUAUUAAGCUGUCGUUCUCCUUUGUUAUUUAGUUGAAAGAAAGAUCAUCGGAAUUACUGAAGUAAUGAUUUUUUUGCUUGACCCUUGGUUAUAAUGCUAUUGCUUGUCAUACAUUUUUCUCUAGUGAGAUACUAUAAAGUAUAAACCUUUCACA